UAGCUUCAAUAGUAAUUGAACUGUGUAAUUACUCUGUAUAAUAUAAAUCCUGAACUGAACUACUGUUGUAGAUAGGUACUGCUGAAGCGAUCCCCUGCAGCCUCACCUACUUCACAAAGCCCUUCGGUGGCGGGAGAAGGCGUCGCCUCUGUAAAUUAUGGGACCCUUUUCAAACGCAAUGGUGCUAUACCUAUGUUACCCAUACAUAGAAGUAUACCUAUCUUAUCUACCCAUGUUCAACGGUGGACCGAGUAGGAUCUGAUGAUGGUGACGUUGCAAACUCUUUUUACGACACAAAAAACUAUAAAGAAAUAGUUUAUCAGAAGGCAAAAUAAAAACUGCAAAUAGGUGGAAAAGAGAACGAACGAGAGAAUGGGAGAAAGAGAUGAAUAUAGAAGAUAGUGUAAUGGGGAAGUUUCAACAGAUGUUUAGGGGAUCACCUAAACACGGGAGUAAAAGAGAUACAAGGUACAGGAGUGAAGGAGAGAGGAAAUAUCAGCUGCUUUGAGUUUUGGAGAGAAGUUUAUCGGGAGAUUUGUAUGAAAGUAGGUGACAAUGACACCAUAAUCUGUCGGCAGC